GUUAAUAAGUGUUUACACCCUCCACUUUUAUAAAUAGAUAAUUGAAGAUUGUACAAAAUGUGUGGCAAUCAUGAAUAUUACACACUUUAGGUUGUUUUUCAUUUUGCUUAUUCUCCUUUCUUCUAAGAUGGUGAUAGAAACCGAAGGAAGCGAAUGCAAUGAUAAAGAAUGCAAAUGGACAUGUAUUAUUGAUAAAGGUUUUCUAGAUGGUAGAUGCACACCAAGUUCUAAUCAAUGCCUCUGCCUCAACAAUUUUGGUUGGUUUUAACCUUAACCAUCGUAUUUGAGUACAACCUUAAUAAGUUAAUUAUAUUUAUGAUUCUUUAAUUGUUAGCUUUGAUUUUUGGCAUUCUUUUUGUUUUGUUUUUUCUUUUUAUACGUUUUGUAUUGUUUAGCAGCUUCACUUUCCCUUGAUAAUUAUUUUCCUGUUAUCUAUAUAAUUAUUUAUUCGUUAGUAAAAAAGUUGUUUAUUUAUACUA